CAUGGAUCAUAAUAAGAUAGUGCUAGUUAUAGACCACAAUUUAUUAUUGGGUACAUAAGAGACACUUUAGUAUGAAGCACAAUAUCUUCCCUUUGGGUAUAUUCCCACUAGUUACAAACCUCAGCUGAUAAAUUGAUACAAUCACUUCACUCAAUCGAGAAGAAUUAGUAUGGAGUAGUGGCUUUUGGAUUUAGCUGCAAUGAGGUCAUUAGUAACUUUGUAUAAGAGCAGUCUCAGUAGAGUGGAGAGGGCAGAAGCCAGAUUGAAGAGGGUCAUGGAGAGAGUUCGGAUUGAGGAAGUGAGACAUACGGGUAAAGUCUUUCCAGAAGCUUUGAGGAAAAAGGGAGCAGGGAUAUGAGAAGAUAGUUAGGGGGGGAGGAUGGGUCAAGAGAUUUUUUUUUUUCAGUAGCAUGUUUAAGGUCAGCAGGUACAACGCCACAAGAGAGAGAGCAGUUGAAGAUGUGUGUUAAGGAAAGACAAGAGAAGAGAGAUAUG